GGGGCUGAUUCUGGAUUCGACGGGAUUUGCGAAGCCCUAGGAGCAUGCCGAGGGGCGGUUUGCCUCGUAAAAAGCCGCAAAAAAAUAGUCGCAAACGACGAAAACUACGCACUAGCAGCUUAAUACCCUGCUUAGAGCCCUCUCUCCCUAGCUUCCGCUCUUAAGACGGGGAUAAAGAGAGGUCAAACCCAAAAGAGAUCGCAUGGAAGUCCUGCCUGGGGCUAAAGUGCUAAACCUAAUCAGGCUAGUUUGUUAGUGGCGUGUCCAUCCGCAGCUGACCGGCGAAUGUAAAGAUUGGACUAAGCAUGUAGUGCCGACGGUGUAGUAAUUUCGGACGGGGGUUCAAAUCCCCCCAGCUCCACCA
rfam:Serratia fonticola strain DSM 4576, complete genome.